CGCUGCUGAAGUAUUCCAAAACCCUACAUAUUUUUUUACAUUUUCGCAAAGAGCUGAAUGUGACGUUUAAACUAACAGAGUUGUGAUUGUUUAUAUUACAGCAGAAAUUAUUUUGGUUCAGAAUAAAAGCAUAGAAAAACAAACACAUUUUUUAGGAAUGUUUGAUACAUGGAUCGAAAUUAUUCACAUUCAUAGAAAUGCAAAUGUAUAAACCUGCAAAUCUGCUGCUUGUGAUUUAAAUCAAGUUGAAUUUGAUCGCUUUUCGAAAUUUUUUGGAUCGCGAAAGUUCAGAUAGCUAUGUUCUCUCUUCGGACCGCACCCUUUGGAAUCCAGGUCCGAUGUCAAAUACAACUAUUGAUAUAAAUUGAAAAAUGAAGGGAGGUUUAGAAAAUCUGAAUCUGAUGAAGGGAGGCGUUAAAAACAGUUUUCGCCUGCAGCUCAAAUCACUCUUUGUCCGUCUCUGUGUACAGCGUAAAGGUACAACCUACAGGGUUUGUUUGUUUGUUUUUUUUUUUUUAUUUUAUGUUUUGUUUUUGUGUUUCUGAUAAGUAGUUCUUUCUGUAACAUGCUCACCGCGAGAGACGUUGGAAUCAUGUUUUUGGUACAAUGACUGCUGUGACUAGUUUUUUUUUCGAAAGUUUUUGAUCAAAUGAUAUGCGUAAAUAAAUAUGCAUUUACUUUUCUAAAAUAUAAUGUUUGUCUACACCAACAGAAAUAAUUUUUAUCUAUCGCGAGAACAAGUGCAUAACCUUCUGAGACAGGAGCUGCGUGGCCGCAAGGUUUUAGAGUCUGCUUUGUCAAGCUUUGUCGGUCGAUAUCAAAAAUGAAUAAACAUGGGUUUAUUCUCAGGUUCCCCCAUCACUUACUUUUUCUUUACGUUCAAUUCUAUAAUACCUUUGUGUGAAUUUCUCUUAACAAAAAUAUAACUUGAUUUUAGUUGAAAAGUAUUGCAGUUUUAGAAAUAUCUUGCAUUCAUUCCUAGGGUCCAAUGAAAAACAAUAAGAAAGCAAACUAUUUUACUACCGGAAACACCCGACUUUGCAGUGUAAGUAAAUAAGAAAAUAAUUGCAAGUGAUGAAUAAAAUUUAUUUUUUUGUCAUUAUGAAUAGCUUCACGUUAAUUACGAGCGAGAUCUGUACGCGGCCGUAGUCACAGGAAGCUGAGGUCUAUACCGGGUGCGCUUGAAGCUUCCAAUGCCGAACUUGAGUGAAACAUACCAGCACGAGAGCAUGAAAGAGAGACUGCUGCUGCUGGACUACUGCUGCUGUUGGGACCACUGUUGCUGCUGGGACUAUUGCUACUGCUGCUGGGACUAUUGCUACUGCUGCUGGGACUGCUGCCGAAUUGUUGCCUCCAAGCAGUUCUGUGGAAACUCUAGGUACAUGGUCCAACGAUCAACUGUAAAGCUCAGAAAUAUUCAAAGGGAUCGGUAAACUUGCUUCAGCGGGAGAACCUGGACUGAUUCGAAAAAUUAAGCGAUUGCGACAUCGAUCGGGCAAGCAAGCCUACACAAUCGGAACGCUGCAUUCAUACACAUAUCCUGUUGUUACCAGGAAAUGAUUUAUUUAAAGAACAAACAAAAUAAAAUUCAAUGUAAUCUAAUGUACGCUUUUCC